rnacentral:pre_miRNA from 1 species
GGAUAUCAUCGUAUACUGUAAGUCGGCUAUGAGACACUACAGUAUAGAUGAUGUACUA